UGGGUAACCUGCCUCAAAGAGGGGAAUAGCCUCCCGAAAGGGAGAUUAAUACCGCAUAAUAUGUUUAAGUCGCAUGACUUUAACAUCAAAGGAUUUUCUUUUAAGAAAUUCCACUUUGAGAUGGACCCCGCGGCGCAUUAGCUAGUUGGUGAGGUAACGGCUCACCAAGGCGACGACGGGUANCUGGUCUGAGAGGAUGGCCAGCCACAUUGGGACUGAGACACGGCCCAGACCUCUACGGGGA
rnacentral:rRNA from 1 species